AGAGCGUGUGUGGGAGAGGGCGGGGUUGUGUGGAUGGGAGUGGCAGAAGAACCAUGAAGGUAAUUGGCUGGUGAGAAUGGUGGGCGGGUCCUAGGCUUAGCGACCCAGGUGAUUGGUGGGUUUUGCCGUUUCCGCCACGUUGACGCCCGAUCUUGGGCGGCGGUUAGCUUGGUUUGCUUUCGCGCGUGGGGGAAAGUAACGGGUGGGCAGCAGUUUGAAGACGUGUGGGGGAAAGCGCAGGAGAUACCCCAUUACAUCGCCCAGCUUGGCUAGCUUUAGCCAGUUUGUAAUGUGGACGGAUUGCAGCUUGUGGAGGGGCCGGAGGCAGAGAGCGAAGACGCGCGAAAUGGGAAAUGUAGCUUGGCUCCUGUGGAGGUGGCGCCGAUGGGGCCCCUGAGGUUCUCUGACCUAUCCUGGUUACCCACCGAUGACGUCUGUGGCGAGGUUUUUGGAAUUUGAAGUGUUGUCAAAGAAGAAAAGACAAGGAUGACUGCAGAGCGAGAAUCCCCAACUAUAGCUCCUCAUUUCAGCUCUACUGGUUUGCAGACACUUGCAUUAAAGCGUUUGGAAUACGGCAAGUUGUUCAACCUGACAGACCUGAAGCUGGAAAGGGGAUAAUUUAUUAAGGGUCACCAGAAUGGACUGAUUAAAAUAGAAUGGCUUAAUUUGAAA